rnacentral:rRNA from 1 species
AUACGUAGGGUGCAAGCGUUAAUCGGAAUUACUGGGCGUAAAGCGUGCGCAGGCGGUUCGGAAAGAAGGAUGUGAAAUCCCAGGGCUCAACCUUGGAACUGCAUUCUUAACUACCGAACUAGAGUAUGUCAGAGGGGGGUAGAAUUCCGCGUGUAGCAGUGAAAUGCGUAGAUAUGCGGAGGGAUACCGAUGGCGAAGGCAGCCCCCUGGGAUAAUACUGACGCUCAUGCACGAAAGCGUGGGUAGCAAACAGGAUUAGAUACCCUGGUAGUCCACGCCCUAAACGAUGUCAACUAGCUGUUGGGCCCUUCGGGGCUUAGUAGCGUAGCUAACGCGUGAAGUUGACCGCCUGGGGAGUACGGUCGCAAGAUUAAAACUCAAAUGAAUUGACGGGG